rnacentral:rRNA from 1 species
GACGAACGCUGGCGGCGUGCUUAACACAUGCAAGUCGAGCGGAAAGGCCCUUUCGGGGGUACUCUAGCGGCGAACGGGCGAGUAACACGUGAGUAAUCUGCCCUGCACUUGGGGAUAACCUCCGGAAACGGUGGCUAAUACCCGAUACGACCAUUCCUCGCAUGAGGUGGGGGUGGAAAGUUUUUCGGUGGGGGAUGUGCUCGCGGCCUAUCAGCUUGUUGGUGGGGUAAUGGCCUACCAAGGCUUCGACGGGUAGCCGGCCUGAGAGGGUGACCGGCCACACUGGGACUGAGACACGGACCAGACUGCUACGUGAGGCAGCAGUGGGGAAUAUUGGACAAUGGGCGGAAGCCUGAGACAGCAACGCCGGGUGAGGGAUGACGGCCUGCGGGUUGUAAACCGCUUUCACCUGUGACGAAGCGAAAGUGACGGUAGCAGGAGAAGAAGCACCGGCCAACUACGUG